UACAGAGGGUGCAAGCGUUAAUCGGAAUUACUGGGCGUAGAGCGUGCGUAGACGGUCAUGUAAGUCGGGUGUGAAAGCCCCGGGCUCAACCUGGGAAUUGCAUUCGAGACUGCAUGGCUAGGAUGCGGAAGAGGGAAGCGGAAUUUCCGGUGUAGCGGUGAAAUGCGUAGAUAUCGGAAGGAACACCAGUGGCGAAAGCGGCUUCCUGGUCCAGCAUCGACGUUCAGGCACGAAAGCGUGGGGAGCAAACAGG
rnacentral:rRNA from 1 species